rnacentral:lncRNA from 10 species
CAAAACAUUUGGUCUCAAUCAGAGACACACUUGUGCUCAUUUGCUUAAAACUGGGUGCAAGUUUCCAGGAUAUUUGAAUGGAGGCUUCUGUAUUAUCAUCCAAGCUAUUAUUGGCUUCUCAUGUCCCUAGAUCUUUUAAGUAUUCAUCUUUGAUUUAGACAUUGGCAAUUCUCACCCUAAAAAGAAAAUGUUUUAAAACUGUUUUUCCUAUCAAUGGGUGAAAUAUCAUGUAGCCCAUUUCCCCAUGAAAACAAUGCUGCUAGUCAGAGUUUCUCUUUGUUCCAGGUUUUUCACGUUAACGUGGUCUGCGUAGUAAAAUCGUUACUAGUGAAGGGGGUGCCAGAUUUGUGGCACGGCCCUAACACACGUACAUUAGUGAGACCACACACAGAUCAAAAAGAUAAAGGCACGCAUUGCUUUUGAGCAAUGACCCGUGUGCCAAAAAUGAGGUUUCACAUACAAGAGACCAGAAGAAUGUAAAGGUUUUAGUCUCAGGGAAUCAAGAGUUUCAUUUUUUGUUCUAGUCUAUGUUUUAAAAGGAUGAUAGGACAUUAUUUAGCCCCUUUGAUUGUUCUUGUUUCACUAUUUGUAACUGAAAAAGAAAAACAAAAUGCCUUCUUCCUCCCUCCGGUAGCCACUAUAAGAAGUGCAGCGACACAGUGAAGGGCUAGGAACUUUGGCUGGGGGGCCAUACUGGCUGGGCUCACUUCUGCACUCCUCACUGUGUAACUUAGAGUCUCAGUUUUCUGUAAAACAGGAACAAUAGCUGCAACUACUUCAUGAGGUUGUUGUGAGAAUUAACUGAAAUAAUACAGGUGCUCAGCACAGUACAUGGACCCUAGUAGGGUUUCAAUUGCUAUUGUUACAGUAAAAUGUUAUUAUAAUAACAUCAUUAUG